GAUUGCAGGCUGCAACCCGCCCUGCAUGAAGUCGGAAUUGCUAGUAAUCGCGGAUCAGCAUGCCGCGGUGAAUACGUUCCCGGGCCUUGUACACACCGCCCGUCACACCAUGGGAGCCGGUAAUACCCGAAGUCAGUAGUCCAACCUCGUGAGGACGCUGCCGAAGGUAGGAUUGGCGACUGGGGUGAAGUCGUAACAAGGUAAC
rnacentral:rRNA from 1 species